rnacentral:rRNA from 1 species
GAUGAACGCUGGCGGCGUGCCUAAUACAUGCAAGUCGAGCGAACGGACGAGAAGCUUGCUUCUCUGAUGUUAGCGGCGGACGGGUGAGUAACACGUGGAUAACCUACCUAUAAGACUGGGAUAACUUCGGGAAACCGGAGCUAAUACCGGAUAAUAUUUUGAACCGCAUGGUUCAAUAGUGAAAGACGGUCUUGCUGUCACUUAUAGAUGGAUCCGCGCUGCAUUAGCUAGUUGGUAAGGUAACGGCUUACCAAGGCAACGAUGCGUAGCCGACCUGAGAGGGUGAUCGGCCACACUGGAACUGAGACACGGUCCAGACUCCUACGGGAGGCAGCAGUAGGGAAUCUUCCGCAAUGGGCGAAAGCCUGACGGAGCAACGCCGCGUGAGUGAUGAAGGUCUUCGGAUCGUAAAACUCUGUUAUUAGGGAAGAACAUAUGUGUAAGUAACUGUGCACGUCUUGACGGUACCUAAUCAGAAAGCCACGGCUAACUACGUG